rnacentral:lncRNA from 1 species
AAGGAAGCUCAUGUAAUAUAUUGGGAAUUCUAAAUGUUAAAUAAGACACAAAAGAUAGUACAGAAUUGGGCACCAGAAUUAUAAACCAUGUAUCAACUAUUAGAAGACAAAACUCAGCAGCUCUGUGCAGGACACCACAUCACUUUUACAUGCGUCGAAACAAUAAACGCCAGUAUAAUGAACAGUGAAUCAUAAUCACCUGGAGCAGCAUUUUUCUUCUUAGGUGGCAGCUGAAAUCCUUAACAAGAAAUUCUUUUGGAGGAAGGCUAAAGAGCUAACAAAAUGUCCAGCUUAUCUGAGCAGACUGCAAGUGCAUGUGAACAUUCAAACAUACGCACUUCAGUAAAAGCAUGGGACGAACGAUGGCAUAAAAAAAAAUCAAAUACUGCCAAAAGUUCUUAAGCAAGCACAAACUGCAAACACCAGUACAUGAAAGAACAAGAAGCAAAAACUGACCGGUGCUCAGAGUCACCCAGGCGCAUCUCCUCUUCCCUUGAAUGCCAUCUAGUGUUGCUGGUGCAACAGCCUCCACAACGACAGCUUCCUUCUCCACCACCUCACCUGUAGCCUUCGCAUGCUUCAUCGCAACUGACCAAGACCAACCCCUGGCGAAGGAUCGAAUACAUAUAGGAUUUUGAGGAGCAAGGCACGCUCAGCAAACAUGGUAAUAUAUACUCCGAAGAAAGGAAUCACACAGAGAAGGUAUAGAAACUCUUUGGCAAAAAUAAGAUCAGCAAAGCAUUGUAAUCCAAUAAAAGAUGACCUCUGAUUAUUGUUGUCCAAAAUCUAGAACAUAGAAUAAAUAUGUUAGGCCAGAAAUGAAGCAACUCAACCUCCACAAAUUCACUAAAAUUUGAAAAGGCUGCUUCUAAAUGAAGUAAUUGGCAGCUGAAUCAAAUGGAAUUCCAUGCCCAUGUACUCCACAUCUGCAACAACAAGAAACACUACCGAACAGUCAAUUGCUUGAUCGAUUCAUUCCUUAGUGAAGUUCUUCUUGGUUGUGGUGAAGGAAUCUCCUUGGACCUAGUUUGAAAGAGCAAAGCAAGAAGAGGGCAGUAAAGCCCACUGCUCCCCAGUGUAGCUAGACCACUAUCCAUUAGUGUCCCUUCUUUCAACAUUUCGCUCCAGAACAUGGGAGAUAGCAGAUAGCACAUGCAUGAAGAACAUAAAAAAGAGCAUACAAGGUGAUUGAUUCAUAGUUGGGUAUCAAGCAGGAACAUAGAUCAUGGCAUCAUCCGUAAUUGCUUGGACAGUUUAGAAAAAUACUUCAUAAUCUGACACAACAUGGAUCCGUCCUCAAGCAUUACGUAUAUCAUAAAAGUAGGAAUACCAAACCUGAAACGCUGAAGAUACUUCGUUGAAUUCAGUCUAGGCGUAGCGACAUGCCCCAGGCCAUUGUGCCCGCGUGAUGAGUGUGGCGGCCAUCAUGACAGCAUUGGGGUAGUGCAGUCUAGGCAUGGAGUGCAUUGAAGGGUUCCAGGCAUUGCAUUCCCCGCGAAGGAUGAUGAAGCAAUAAUACAAAUACUAAGCCUACAUGUGUCUCAGUUCUGAAAGUUGUAAAGUUUAUAAUCAGGAAACUAUUUCAGUUUUGCAGGGUAAUCCAACCCGUGUUCCCGCAUCCAUCCAUUAAUUGUUGAAAGAUUAUUUGCUCAUGAAGACCUGGACAACAAGGAAAAAGACUAAUUGGAGAUUAUUGAGCUAAUCUUAUACUUGACUAUCAUGGCAUUAUUUCAAUCUCUAUUUAUGGAUGUUAAUAGGGAUUGGAUACAUCAGAGCGUACGUCUUGAAGCAAACACAAACGAUUGUCAUAU